rnacentral:rRNA from 1 species
GAGUUUGAUCAUGGCUCAGGACGAACGCUGGCGGCGUGCUUAACACAUGCAAGUCGAGCGGAAAGGCCCCUUCGGGGGUACUCGAGCGGCGAACGGGUGAGUAACACGUGAGCAACCUGCCCCUGACUCUGGGAUAAGCCCGGGAAACUGGGUCUAAUACCGUAUAUGACCGGCCUUCGCAUGGGGUGUCGGUGGAAAGUUUUUCGGUUGGGGAUGGGCUCGCGGCCUAUCAGCUUGUUGGUGGGGUGAUGGCCUACCAAGGCGACGACGGGUAACCGGCCUGAGAGGGCGACCGGUCACACUGGGACUGAGACACGGCCCAGACUCCUACGGGAGGCAGCAGUGGGGAAUAUUGCGCAAUGGGCGGAAGCCUGACGCAGCGACGCCGCGUGGGGGAUGACGGCCUGG